rnacentral:rRNA from 1 species
UACGAAGGGGGCUAGCGUUGCUCGGAAUCACUGGGCGUAAAGGGCGCGUAGGCGGCCUGCUAAGUCGAACGUGAAAUCCCUGGGCUCAACCCAGGAACUGCGUCCGAUACUGGUUGGCUUGAAUCCGGGAGAGGGAUGCGGAAUUCCAGGUGUAGCGGUGAAAUGCGUAGAUAUCUGGAGGAACACCGGUGGCGAAGGCGGCAUCCUGGACCGGCAUUGACGCUGAGGCGCGAAAGCCAGGGGAGCAAACGGG